rnacentral:ncRNA from 1 species
GCACGCGGGGAGCUCGGGUAGCCGGGCUGAGAGGGCAGACGAAAAUACUCUGCCAACCCUUGAACCUGAUCUGGGUAAUUCCAGCGUAGGAAAAUGG